rnacentral:lncRNA from 1 species
AGGAGUUGAGACUAAGGAGAUGAGUUGAAGCUUGGGAAGGUUUGGGUAAGGUCCGUACAAGUCCGUACAGUCCGUACAUGACCGUACACAUGAAGAUGGGUGAAACCUUGACAAGGGUAAAGAAGUUACUUGCGGUAACUUAGGUGAAGGGAAGGAACUUACCUUGAUGCAUCAGACCGUUUAGGGAUAAGGUAGAGCGCGCCUUGACAGGCUGGAACAGCUGGAAAGGCAAGAGCAUCUCGGUCCAAGAUGCUAGAUGCUCCGCGCAUGUGGAGAAGCUAAUUGGCUAGUCCAAAUGAGCUUAUCCUCUCCUGAUUGACCUCACAUGCUUUAGUCUUCUCUGGAUUUCGAAAACCCUUGUAUGCUCACACUAUAUAUUGUAACUCAUGUCCUUAAUGAAAGAUUAGACAGUUCUAAACAAUCUUUCUCUUUACUCAUUUCACUAUGAUUCUCCAUUAGUCUCUAAGUAGUCUCUUAAUCUCUUAUUCUCCUUCUCUAAUCCUUUCUAAACUCAGAUAAUCAUUUACAUUCCUAAAAGUCAUAAUCCAUUCAUUUAAAUUCAAGUUAUAACAGCCCUUAGAUUUAGGUUUAUGAUUGCAAGUUGUAAAGAGCAUAUAUAAGCUCAUAAGUGAUGUUUUGUAACUCUUAAGUGAGUAAGGGGGUUUCCCUUCUCCUUCUCUAAUCUGAAACACU